UUUGCAUUUUGUCAUAUUUGAUGAAAGGUGUCUCUGUGUAUCCCUGGCUAUCCUGGACUCUGUAGACUGGGCUGGCCUCAAACUCAGAGAACAGUCUG
rnacentral:miRNA from 1 species